UCAGUAGCUGAGUGGAUAACACGAUGGCUUUUAAAGCGAACGUACUGGGUUCGAGUCCCAGAGUGA
rnacentral:tRNA from 1 species